rnacentral:rRNA from 1 species
UACGUAGGGGGCAAGCGUUGUUCGGAAUUACUGGGCGUAAAGGGCUCGUAGGUGGCCAACUAAGUCAGACGUGAAAUCCCUCGGCUUAACCGAGGAACUGCCUGUCAAACUGCAUGGCUUGAGACCGGGGAGAGGUGAGUGGAAUUCCCAGUGUAGCGGUGAAAUGCGUAGAGAUCGGAAGGAACACCGGUGGCGAAGGCGGCUACCUGCCUAAUCUGACACUGAGGCACGAAAGCGUGGGGAGCAAACAGGAUUAGAACCGACCUAGU